UAGGGUUUGAGCCUAACGCCCAAUUUUUUGAUCAUUCACGACUCAGGAUAGAAUGUUUGGAUGAUCAUUAUCGAUAUUUUUAUAUUAGAGAUGAUGCAUCAGAUGAGAUGGUACAGUAAUAUGUCAGAGAUCAGGUGCUCCGGUUAUUAGGUGGUGUUCUAUUACCUGAUACUUCAUCGAACAAGAUGAAGUUGAUAUUUUUGCCAU
rnacentral:lncRNA from 1 species